GUGCUCACUUCAGCAGCACAUAUAUUAAAAUUGGAACGAUACAGAGAUUAGCAUGGCCCCUGUGCAAAGAUGACACGCAAAUUUGUGAUGCGUUCCAUAUUCUU
rnacentral:snRNA from 1 species